GAUGAAGAACGUAGCGAAAUGCGAUAAGUAGUGUGAAUUGCAGAAUUCAGUGAAUCAUCGAAUCUUUGAACGCACAUUGCGCCUCCUGGUAUUCCGGGAGGCAUGCCUGUUCGAGCGUGAUUAAAAUCACUCAAGCUUAGGUUUACCUAUUGCUUGGUCUUGGAGAUGGAAGCCAAUUCAUUGGAAUCCUCUUCGAAAUCCAAUGGCGAAGACCCUUGCUCUCCCAAGUGUAGUAAUAACUUAUGUCACUGAAGGAAGCGAGAAAUCUUCCGCCGUAACCCCCAUAUUUUCUAUGAUUGACCUCGGAUCAGGUAGGGAUACCCGCUGAACUUAAGCAUAUCAAUAAGCGGAGGA
rnacentral:misc_RNA from 1 species